rnacentral:rRNA from 1 species
AUUGAACGCUGGCGGAAUGCUUUACACAUGCAAGUCGGGCGGCAGCAUGGACUUCGGUCUGAUGGCGAGCGUCGAACGGGUGAGUAAUGCAUCGGAACGUACCUAGUCGUGGGGGAUAACUACUCGAAAGAGUAGCUAAUACCGCAUACGUCCUACGGGAGAAAGCAGGGAUCGCAAGACCUUGCGCGAUUGGAGCGGCCGAUGUCUGAUUAGCUAGUUGGUGGGGUAAAGCUCACCAAGGCGACGAUCAGUAGCGGGUCUGAGAGGAUGAUCCGCCACACUGGGACUGAGACACGGCCCAGACUCCUACGGGAGGCAGCAGUGGGGAAUUUUGGACAAUGGGCGCAAGCCUGAUCCAGCCAUUCCGCGUGAGUGAAGAAGGCCUCGGGUUGUAAAGCUCUUUCGGCAGGAAAGAAAUCGCCCGCUCUAACAUAGCGGGUGGAUGACGGUACCUGAAGAAGAAGCACCGGCUAACUACGUGCCAGCAGCCGCGGUAAUACGUAGGGUGCGAGCGUUAAUCGGAAUUACUGGGCGUAAAGCGUGCGCAGGCGGCUUUUUAAGCCAGAUGUGAAAUCCCCGGGCUUAACCUGGGAACUGCAUUUGGAACUGGAAGGCUAGAGUGCGGCAGAGGGGGUGAGAAUUCCACGUGUAGCAGUGAAAUGCGUAGAGAUGUGGAGGAAUACCGAUGGCGAAGGCAGCCCCUGGCUGCGACACUGACGCUCAUGCACGAAAAGCGUGGGGGAGC